rnacentral:pre_miRNA from 1 species
AAAUUGAUUCUGUUGAACUCAAGAUUGACCCGUGUUGAGUUUAACUGUAUUGGUUUGGC